rnacentral:rRNA from 1 species
UACGGAGGGUGCAAGCGUUAAUCGGAAUUACUGGGCGUAAAGGGUGCGUAGGUGGUUAAGUAAGUUAUCUGUGAAAUCCCUGGGCUCAACCUGGGCAGGUCAGAUAAUACUGUUUAACUCGAGUAUGGGAGAGGGUAGUGGAAUUUCCGGUGUAGCGGUGAAAUGCGUAGAGAUCGGAAGGAACACCAGUGGCGAAGGCGGCUACCUGGCCUAAUACUGACACUGAGGCACGAAGGCGUGGGGAGCAAACAGG